AUUGAACGCUGGCGGCAGGCCUAACACAUGCAAGUCGAGCGGGGUUUUCGGACCUAGCGGCGGACGGGUGAGUAAUGCGUAGGAGGCUGCCCGAUAGAGGGGGAUACCAGUUGGAAACGACUGUUAAUACCGCAUAAUGUCUACGGACCAAAGUGUGGGACCUUCGGGCCACAUGCUAUCGGAUGCGCCUACGUGGGAUUAGCUAGUUGGUGAGGUAAUGGCUCACCAAGGCGACGAGCUCUAGCAGGUUUGAGAGGAUGAUCAGCCACACUGGAACUGAGACACGGUCCAGACUCCUACGGGAGGCAGCAGUGGGGAAUAUUGGACAAUGGGCGCAAGCCUGAUCCAGCCAUGCCGCGUGUGUGAAGAAGGCCUUCGGGUUGUAAAGCACUUUCAGCGAGGAGGAAGGGUGGUGUGUUAAUAGCACAUCAUUUUGACGUUACUCGCAGAAGAAGCACCGGCUAACUCUGUGCCAGCAGCCGCGGUAACAC
rnacentral:rRNA from 1 species